UGUCUAUGACCCUAGCCAAAGAUCUCUCUGACGACAUCACCAGACACAAAAAUGACAAACAAGUGAACAACAGAAAAGUAGAACUGCUCAUUAAUGGAGAGUUGAAGAGUGAAAAAUGGAUGAAUGUUCAAGUGGGUGACAUUGUCA